GGAUAGCUCAGUCAGUAGAGCACGAGACUCUUAAUCCCAGAGUCAUGGGUUCAAGCCCCACAUUGGCCA